CCCCCUGUGUUUUUAGGGAGCCCUGUGCUCUUCCACCUAAAAAUCUGUAGCAAUGAUUCCUGUCACAGAACUGAGGCAGGAUGGGCUCAAGCCAGGUCAGAAACGCCUCCUCUCCUGUUGGCAGCCGCCUCCCUCUUUCUUUGACACAGAACUUCGGAGCUGGAAAGAACCUUGGAGAUUAACUCCUCUGGUGGACUCCUGUAGCAGCCCAGGAGAAUAAGGCACAGGAAGACUUUCUUUCUCAACGUUGCCUGAACAUGAUUGCCACAACCUCAAUGACCUUGCCUGCCUUGUCUCCUAUCGUCACCCCAGCACCUGGCAUGGUGUUUGGCACACACCCUCAGUGUGACAGCAUUGCCUCCCCUCAUUGUGACAAGGUUGCUGCAGUAGCUCAGUACAUCACGUCCUUAAACAAAAACAUCCAAAGAAAGGUAGGAAGGGAUGUGGGCUUCCUCUUCAGCAUCUCUUUCUAUUUAUUAGAGAGAAAAAUCUUUCCAGAAGCCACUAGCAGACUUCCAGUUAUGUCUCCUUGCUCAGAACUGGGUCACAUGACCACCACAUUGGCUAAAUCCAUCGUUUGCAAAGAGAAUAUGAAUCAGGCUGGUCAUGGCUCAUCUCAUGGGCCUGAGGGAAGGCUCCAACUUCCCCAGACAAAUUUCCUUGAUAUCUGAACAAAAUCAGGGUUCAGUUAACAGGGAAGAAGCAGAAAAGUGCUACCAACAAUUCUUCCAAUCCAAGAAAUCCUUUAAAAUAUGAUAAAGUAUGCUUCAGUGCUUAGGCUCCACACCAGCCAUGGCAGUUGAGUUUCACUAUAUCAGUUCUCUAUUUCUAUGCACCUUUUUUUUUUUUAAAUGAAAAAAGCUUGCUUGGCUUUCAGCAAAAUUAAAACUAUUUCAACAACCCACAAAUAAGGGAAAUAGCUGGCCACAGUCAGUUUUUUUCCUACACAUUUAGAUCCUAGGUCUUUAUAUCACCACUGAUUUUCUACAUAUCCAAGGAAUAGCACACAAUCUAUCAGCCUCUUGUCUUCUCCUGUGUCUGAUGGGAUCAACGAUGCUGUUGAUUUCUUAGAAACAUCAAGUGCAACACUGCAACUAACCAUGAAAAGAUUGCAAAACAGUCUAGAAGGGUUUAAGACUCAAGUUUACCUGCUGCUUUUCUUGUCUAUUGUAUUUCAGUGAAUUCCUAUCCCACAUGUUUGCAUCUGUCGCUGCCUGAGAGCGCCAGCUGCCUGGGAUGUGUAAACCAGAAAUAUAUGGCUGAUACAACUUUGCCUUGCGGUGGGCUUCAGGAACUUCUCCAUUGUCACAGAUCAAGAGAAUUAGGGUGAAGGAUGAAGUGAGCUGGAUUUUAUACUCCACAAGGAAAGAACAACAUCUGAGAGAUGUGUGACCUUGGGCCUGUGAUGUCACCGAGGAUCUCUGAGCUUCCUGCUUCCUUGGCUGUAAAGGGAAGAUCGUGACUACCACCUUGCCAGGGUGCUACAGGGAUCGGCGACAUGAGUGGGGCUGGCACUGAGAGCUAAGUAUAUGUUCCUAUCAUUGCUUUUUUUUCAUCAGAGAAAUUCUGAACCCCCUACCAAGAAGUAGCUAUUUAACCACCACUGACUUGGUGAGAUCCAAAUUUACAAAUGUGCUGGCUGAAGUCCAGAAACAUCUAGGCCCAAUCAGAUAACUAUGGGAUCUGAAUUAUCUUUGAGGCAUGACUUGGCAGUUAGAUUACGCCUAAGUAAUAAUUAUUAAACUUUAUAUGUGUCAACCAGAUUUGUCACAGAUUGGGGGUGAAAUGAGAGCAUAAACUUAUGCAAAAAUUAAAGCCACACGGUCACAUCAUCUUGUCAGAAAAGAAAAGCAACAGAAUACAAGAUGCCACUGCCAUUUACAUGAAGGAACUAAGGCCUGGACUGCCCUCCCAGCAAAAAUCUGCUCUAACAUAAGCCAAUAAGAUGACAAAUGGGAAUCUGAAAUGACUUUGAAAUAAAAUCCAAGAUGUAUCCGUGAAGGCGGGAGGCAAAGAUGUUCUGGAACUGCUGUCUCUCCCAAGGGCUCUGCAAAACCCCUGAGGCCUCAGCUUGUAAUUCUGCAAUAGGGUCUCACAUCUCCAAACCUUUCCUUACCGUAAGUUGACAAAUAUAGCCCUGCAGCCUGCUGUCUGAGAAGAGUUGGUGCUCCCUAGAUUUUUCAUGAGCUCUUGUCUUAGUUUGGGUUCCCCCGAAAGCAGAGUCUGACAGAAGCACUUGGUACAGGUGGUUCACUAAGGAGAGGUCACCUGAGGCGGGAGUGAGGGAAGGGGGAGUGUGAUGUCAAGAAGGAUAGUGUGAUGUCAAGGUGACGAGGUACAGAAGGCCUCCUACAGCUAUUUACCUAAAGGUGAUAGAAUUUACCCACUAGCUUCCAUUCCCCAGUGGUUGGGAGUUGCUGUAAAGGACAUUAACUCUCCUGCACUUUUGGGGUAUUCUUACCUAUGGGCUGAGCAGAGGCCCAAGGUGUUAGAGAAGGCCCUUGGGCAGAAUGCUGAGGGACUGGAUCUCACAUGAGAGGAGGGAUGCUGUCAGUGAGAACAGCGUCUGGCCUCACGUAAGAUGACAGUCCACUUAGCCAUGGCUGAGAUCAGAGGUGGCCAAAGGGAUGUGAUGUGAGCCACCAAAUGUGUUUGUUUCAGUGCUCCUAGAUUGCCCAGCCACUCUUGCAGCUAGGUUGUGGUCACAUGAUCCUUGAGUCCGCAUGGAGGACAUCUGACAAACCCAGAACCAUACCCUUUCUACUCAUGUCCACUUCACCAGGGAGACAACAACCUCCAGGCAAGUGAGGGACGGACACAGGAGGGAGUUGUUCCUCUGAGUCAGGCAACAGCUUCAAUACGGAAACUGUGAGAAUUAGGUCUUUUUUGUGUUCUUUUCCCUCUGAGGAGCUAGAUCUAACAACAGGCAGUUGACGUGUGUCCAGAGAACCUCUCAGCUUCUUGUAAAUAUACACAUAUGCUUGUAUUUCUUUAAAAAGUUCUGGGUUUGAAGUUCAUUGGUUUGGCUUAAAUCACAUGUCCAUCUGUGAACCAAUUACUGUGGCCAGAGUGUGGAAAACUCGGAUUGGCCAGCCUUGGAUCAUGUGACAGAUAUAUCAGCCUCAUGUAUACUCCCUGAGGGCAAAGACCACUGGUAAGUCAGGGUGAAAUUACUUUAAGAAAGGAAUAAAUAAAUGCUGGAUAGCAAAAGUAACAGAUAUAUACAACAUACUCUUCUUUUUAAAAACUCUUUAUUGAGGUAUGACUUAAAGACAGUGAAGUGUACCAAUCUUAAGUGUACAGCUUGAUAAUUUUUUAUAUACACAGUUGGGUAAUCACCACCCAAAUCAAUAUUUAAAUAUUUUCAGAACCCUCAAAGUCUCCCUUGUGCCUCUUCCCAGUCAUAACUCCCCAAAGAUAACCACUACUCUGAUCUCUAACACCAUAGAUAAUUUGCCUGUGCUUGAACUUCGUAUAAAUGGAAUCAUAUAGUAUAUGCUCUUUUGUGUUUGGCUUCUUUCACUCAACAUUAUGUUGUAAGAUUCAUCCAUGUUGUUGUGUGUAGCAGUAGUUUAUUCUUUUUCAUUGCUGUGUAACAUUCCAUUGUAUAAACUCUUAUCCAAUCUAUUGACAGUUGAAUUAUUUCCAAUUUUUAGCUAUUAUGCAUAAAACUGUUAUGAACAUGCUUGUACAGGUCUUUUGGUGGACAUAAGUACUCCUUUUUCUCAGGUGUAUACUCAAGAAUGGAAAUGCUGGGUCAAAGGAUUUAUAAAUACUUAGCUUUAAUAGGUAUUGCCAAACAGUUUUCACUCCCACCAGCAGUGUAUGAGAGUUUCAGUUGCUACAGAGUCUUGCAGCUGUGUAGUCCUUGUCAGUCCGUCUAAUCAUCUACUCUUCUUGAUUUCUCAAUACCCUUCUACAAAGAGAUACAGAUAUUUGUCAGUAGACUGCAAAAGUCCCAGCCAUGGAAAAGGCUCUGUACACCAACGGUAAAGGCUGAACUUAAAUGCCUGGUCCUGACCCUAAGGGCAACAGGAACUCAGAAAUGGGAGAGAUCAGCAUGGGCAUGGGGAGAUAUGAACCUUUGGAGAGGUUGAAAUGAGCAGGGCUUUGACCCGUUGGUGAGAUUUGAAUAAAGGAAGGAGAAUAAUGCAGUCAUCCUGUCAGAGUGCACAGCUUGAGCAAAGGCAGAAGGGUGGGAAAGAGUUUGGAGUAGAAAUCAGGGAGAAAGCUGACCUCACUUGAGCAGAGAGUACCUCUUGAGAGGAGCAGGGCGUGUGGUUGGAUUGGUAAGGACGGGCCAGGCUUGGGCAGGGGGGCUUUGAUGUCAGGAGGUGGGCUUGGGAUCUGGGUGGCUGGAGUAGGGGAGGUGGCUGAGAGUCAGCAGGUCCCUCAUUCAGUCUCAGUUUCCUCCUGUUUCUCACAGUAACGAGCAUCUUACCAUGAUGAGUGUGAUAAUCAUUUUUCUUUCAACAGGGCCCCUGAAUGCGAGCCAACUGCUUCAUUUGGUUCUCAGCUGAAGAAAUAGAUCUGUUCCUAUGCCGGAGAGAAAACCAGAUGUCCUGGAUUGAGAAAUGGUAUCUCUACAUGUACUUCAGAGGCGUUAUAAGGGAUCCUCAAGGGGUUAGUUUUGACUUUGUGUGAUUUAUACCUUCUGGGCUGACUUCGCUACAUUAGAAGUCUUAUGGCAGGUGUAUCUGUAUAAAGUGAUGAACACAAGCCUGGGCUGCAGGCCCUGAGAAUGGAAAGGAAUAGCUCCACUUCCCCUGUUCUUCUAGAACUCCCCAUGCCUGAGCCCAUUUAUCUCUCCACCUGCAGAUUCAGCCCUUCAACGACCAGUCGAUUCAUUUGUUCAUUCAUUACUUAUUCAUUCAGCAAACUUUCACUGGAUGCCUAGUGAAGGCCAAGUACUGGAAUUGAAGACAGAAACAGAGUUUCUGCCUUCAAGGAGCUCACAGACAAGCAAGAAACACUGACACGGGACAAUUGAAUGCAAAUAAGGUGUUGGAAUUCAGCAUUUAAAGCCUCCUCCUGUCUGAGGAAAGCAGAAGAGGAGCUCAAGAGUAUAUCGUGAAUCUUACUACAUCUGGAAUAAAGAUCAGGCCAGCUGAUGCUUAAAUUAAAAGCACAGCUUGCCUUUCCUCCCUCCUCUCACCUCACGAAUAAAGUCGAGCAACAGGCAUUGAACUGGUGAAGGACACAUUCAUCAGAAAUCUAUGUAGGCAUAUUUCUUUUACUUACCAAAGCUCCAAUUAAUCCUAAUUAAGGCUCACUCAUCUGCACCCCAUUGCCCCAACCCCACCUAGAGAGGAAAACCCAACCUGCUCCCCACCUGUAACCCAGAAAAAGAGAAACUGUUUUAUGAGAGUCCAUGGACCCAGAGCCCUUUUACAGAGAAGUCAUCUGCAUUUGGUUCCCUAUAACACUGCGCCGGGCCACGGGGUAGGAAAACCGGUUGACAUCUGGAGGAGAUGUUGGGAGUGUAGCCAUCUCAGCUGGAAAGAUGGGAUUCUGGCCCAUUUUCCUUCCUACUGGAGGAUUGUCUUUCCUUGGUCGCUUAAAGGAUUCCUGGCUCCUACUGUACUUUGUUCUUUGCUUUCAUUUUUUCCACGAAUAUUUACUGAGCAGUUAAUGUAUGUCAUGCAAAAAUGUCUUGUAUGAAUCUUUUCUUGUGUGAUGUAGUGGAAAGAGCAUGCAUUCUGAAGUCAGAAGACCUCGGUCUAGAGUCCGGGAGAUUGUGCUUGCCUGGAGCAAAUAAUUUUACUUCCCAAAACUUUGGUAUCUGCUUUGGCAACCUAAAGGCCGCUCUGAGGAUCAAAUAUAAUAAUGAGUGUGAAAUUUCUGUAAAUUGUAAAGUGCUUCAAAAUGAUAGUUCGUUUUUGAAAGUAUUGCAUUUGUUCUAAGAUGAAUUUCCUCAUGGUCACUCACAACCUCCAGCCAGGGGAAAUCAAAGGAGGUUAAGUCUCACUUGCACACACUUCAUCAAGGGCCCACUGAGCAGCCCUAACAAUGUGUUCCGGUGGUCAUAUGUUUUUAUAAAGCUUGGAAAAUAAGAAUAUUUUAUCAGCAAUUGGUUAAAACCACUAUGUUUUUCCUCUGCAGCUUCCUCACCGUGACUGUUUUUCUGUUGAACAGCGAUGAGUGGUGGUAGGCAUUUUCGAUAUCUGGCUAAAGAGAAGUUGAGUUGGGGAACAUGAAGUUUGGAUUGAGCGGCAUAUAUUUCUGCAGUUUGCAGAAUUUCCAUGUUUAGUUAGGUUAUUAUUAGGCCUCCUGGUGUAGGAACGGCUUCCAGGAAUGCUCCUUUCCCUACCAUGUCAAUUCAUCUGGUGCCAUCUCAUAAAAGUGCAGGGCCAAGGGCAAAGCUGUGAUAGGACCAUGUGAUAGGACCAUGCACAGUAGCAGGACCAGAAAUAGAUGUAAGUAAUGGAAGAGAAACAGGAUUUCAAAUGUAGGGAGGCAAAAGCUAGUCUUCAGAAAGUUCUUCUAAUCAUCAGAUGUGUUCCAUUGUAAGUGGAAGAUGCAGUUCUCAUUGACACCUAGCUAAAAUAGAAGUUUGCUACUAUCAAAAAUAUACUUGAUAGUACAGUGUACACAAUUAUUAAUACAUCAUAUAUUUUUCUAUUUUUUAUGGGAAUCUUGCAAGAUAAAAUUAAUCACAAUACCUGGGUUUAUAGGGCAUAGACCGUAGCAGUAUUACCUAUGGCACGAACAUCUGUGUGUGAAAUUCCAUGUUUAUGUAUCAUAUCAGAUCAGAUCACCUCUUAGCAUAUCUGAUGCUUCUCGUCCUGACAAGGUCUGUUGGUUGAUGAAAAGGAACACAACAUUGCCACAGACAUAGCAAAAUGGCCUGAAGAAGCAAGGGUUCCUGUGCCAAAACUCCCAUGCGUAUUCAUUAAUAAAUCAAUGUAAUGUAAAAAUAAAAUAAAGUAAUGUAAAAAUAAUUUGAUUACAUAAUUAUGCAGAUCAAUACAACAAGAAGUGAUUUAAAAUUGCUCUCCCAUAGGCCUUAAUUUCAGAUUAAUUUUGUAUAUUUUUUAGAAUUUACUGAGCAUAUAAAAAUUACCCCAAAACUUUAUAGAGGCAUGUUGGACAGUUAAUGAAUAAAGAUAAUGUUAUUUUUAUUUUGAUUUCGUGAUGUUUGUAAUGUUUGCCAGCUUUUUUACAUCUGAAAAUUACUAUGAUUUCUUUUCUCAUUCUAGAUAAAUAUUUAUUUUGUGUUCUUUACACCUAGUUAAUUUUGUGUUCAUAAUUUUGUAUUAUUUUUCCUAAAGAGGGCCCCUAAAUUGUAUAAGCUUCAGGCCCCUUGAAGCCUGGAUCCACCCUGCCUGAUUCGGUUACUCCAUCCUGCUGUGGACAUGAGUCCAGUAUCCCUACCCCGCUCACUGCUCCACCCUUCACCAAGAGCUCUAAGCCCACGAGUGUGUGUUGCAGAACCCAGAGCCUGCCACCCAGGACAAGAAGCAGAGCAUCCCAGAGUCUGCCAAUGAAAAGAUUCUCAUUAAUGGGUUCCUGGAAGUUAGGGUUAGGAUAGGAUACCAAGGAAAAUACCUCUCAGAUAAAAGCCAUACAGAGCCAGCUCACAGGAAGAUAGUAAAAGAUUAUUUACACAUUGCACUCCGCUCUACUAUUUCAAGCAACAAUAACUAACCAUGGGGAACUAUCUCUGUGGUGGAGAGCGCUAGUUGUCUGCCAAAAUCUAUCUCUGGUUCUUCCAUAGAUGUAGAUUUCAAGCCAAGCAUAUGGACACUUAUCUAGGGGCUCCACUUCCCGGCCUCUUUGGUGGCUGGCUGUGGCCACAUGACUAAGUUCACCAACGGAACGUGAGCAGGAGAGAUAUGGAUGACUUGUGCCUGGCUUGCUUUUAAAAAGAAAUUACUUCCCUAAACUUUUCCUAUCCCUUCCCUGCUAGCUGGCAAGUGACAAAUCCCACCUUCAAACAUGCAGAUGAGAACAAUGCACUGAGCCAGAAGUUCCCAAACUUUUCCACUCAAAUACCCUUAGUGUCUCAGUAGUUCUAUCAGGUUGCUCCUAGGCCAAAAAGAAAUAACCAAUAGUUCUAUUUGUUAAGUAGUUUUGUCCAAACAACCUAAUAAGUACUUAUUCCCUAACCCUUAGUGUGAAGGGUCUGAUAUUAUAUAGUAUUUGUAAGCAAAUGAGAUAGCCAGUCAGGGUUUCAUGGAUGUUGGCAGAAGACACGAGAUUCCUGGCUCAGAGACGAAGGAAUGCAUUACUCACAACAGUAGCAAUAGUCAGAGUGUCAGCAUUAGCUCUGGUUUGCUGACCUCAAUUCCUAUGGGACUAUGUGAAGAGGGCUAUGUGACAUCUGCACACGGAGUGGGUUGUGUCACAGAAGAGUAACCUGAAUCUCAGGUUACCAAGCUUUGGCACCCUGAAUAUUUUAUAAUGGGUAGUAAGCCUGCCUGAUCUUUGCCCUAGAGGGAAACAUUAUUUGUCUUAGACUAGACAAUAAGCAGAGCUGCUCUUUGUUCCAGAAAGAGCCACUAUCUCUGUCUUCCAAGGCUAUUAGCUAUACAAACAUCCUUGAAAAAAUAGUCUGGAUUAAAGGCAGUCAGUGCCUCUGCUUACAACAUAGGCAAAACCAUGAGAGAUACAUGGAGAAUUGUCUCCCAACGUUUAGUAGCCAUUUGCAAAAAAUAAUACACAUAAAUUGAAAGAAAAAGUAAUACUUUAUUUUAGUUUUAAACAACUGCAAUCACUUGGUAAUGGAAUGCGUGUGCUGGCUGGGCACUGCUCAACUCCUCAAACCUUGGAAUCUGAUUGGACGCAGCCACUCCAUUCCUUGUUCCACAUUGACUUUCUCUUAGUGCUUGCUUUUUAUCACUGCAACCACCAAAACCCGAGCUUCACAAAGAUACGACGUCAUCAAAAGGAAAGUUGUGCUAUCUAAUGUUGAAACUGCGAACUGCCUCAAGCUCGUAGUUUCACGUGGCAUCUGUCAGAUGUGGAGGGCCACUAUGUUUUCCACAAAAAUUGGACACAUCCCGUGGUGCUCCUGUGAGUUCUUUCAGGCUCCCUGGGACAACUUGGUGCAUGGUUUGGGAGCUGCAGCCCUAAGCAAUGGUGGAAGAAGCACUUGAUUCUGAGUGGCCUCAUAGAGGGGCACUGUCUCGAUAGCCUAGAAUAAGUGGAUUGUUAUAUCAGAGAGAAAUAAACUUCUAUCCUCUUUAAGUAAAAUUCAUGGGGUUUUUUGUUGCAGUUGCAUAGCCUUUAUCCUAACUAGUACAAUCUCCUACAUAAUUUUGGCCGGGUCUCACAUUGCAGAUUUGAUGACGUAUGUUCUUACAUUGUGGGAAAAAAAGUAUUUCCUAUGUGUUUCUUUUGUCUUUCCAACCUCAGUCAUCACCUCAAUCAACAUUUAUUGAGACCCUACUAUGCCCUGGCUCUGGGCUAAGCAUCCUUUCAAAACCCAAGUCCACAUCUAUGUUCCUCAGUUGCCUCAGCUGCAGGCUCAGGUCUCGACUCUUGAGCCAAGUCUAAGCAAGACCCUUCCCCAUUUAGCAAGGAAGGUCUGGAAAUCGCACUGAUGCCUUGCUCUCAGGAGUAGCUGCUGUGCCUUGGACUUGGAACUCAAUGAGGAGAACUUGGAUGAGCUGAGCUGAACCAGUCCUUUUUCACCAAUCUGGUUAGGAUUAAGAAACUUCAGACCAAGGCCUAUCUGACACAUCCAGCAAGACACAGAGAACGUAUCCAGAAAGCAGCAUGCAAGCAACAAGACGGAGAGUACUUGUUUUCGCUGCCUAGAGCUGAGCUGGCUUGGAUUGCUGCUGGGGUAGUGAGCUCUGUGUGUAUCUGUGUAAAAAGGAACAAGAGGGAUAGCAGGUUCUGACCUCUCAGUGACUGAAGGGAGAAAAGAGAAGAGGGAUGGCUGAGCUGGCCCGGGUAGCUUGGGAGGAGCAGGCCCUACGUCCACUUACUACCUCUACAACACGAAUGAGACACAGAGAGAGCAAGGCAUGGGCCCUCACACCCUCCAGUUCUGCAGCAUGGAGAGAGAGGAGAGAGCUAAGAGAGCUCCAGUCCUCCCACACCCAAAAUGAGUGAUAUUUUAAUGCACAUUGAUCACUAGUAAACUUGACCCAAUAAGAGUCCUAGAAUUUUAACAAUCCAUGUCAACUUUUCUUCUUCUUUUUUUUUUUCCUGAGGAGGACUGGCC